AUUGAACGCUGGCGGCAGGCCUAACACAUGCAAGUCGAGCGGAUGAAGGGAGCUUGCUCCUGGAUUCAGCGGCGGACGGGUGUGUAAUGCCUAGGAAUCUGCCUGGUAGUGGGGGAUAACGUCCGGAAACGGGCGCUAAUACCGCAUACGUCCUGAGGGAGAAAGUGGGGGAUCUUCGGACCUCACGCUAUCAGAUGAGCCUAGGUCGGAUUAGCUAGUUGGUGGGGUAAAGGCCUACCAAGGCAACGAUCCGUAACUGAUCGGAGAGGCUGAUCAGUCACAGUGGAACUUAGACACGAUCCAGACUCCUACGGGAGGCAGCGUUGGGGAAUAUUGGACAGUUGGCGAAAGCCUGAUCCAGACAUGCCGCGUGUGUGAUGAAGGUCUUCGCACUGUAAAGCACUUUUAGUUGGGAGCAAGCGCUGUAAGUUAAUACCUUGCUGUUUGGACGCUACCAACAGAUUAAGCACCGGCUAACUUCGUG
rnacentral:rRNA from 1 species